UACGGAGGGGGCGAGCGUUAUUCGGAAUUACUGGGCGUAAAGCGCGUGUAGGCGGCAAUGCAAGUCGGGCGUGAAAUCCCACGGCUCAACCGUGGAAGUGCACUCGAGACUGCAUAGCUAGAGUCCUGGAGAGGAAGGUGGAAUGCUUGGUGUAGAGGUGAAAUUCGUAGAUAUCAAGCGGAACACCGGUGGCGAAGGCGGCCUUCUGGACAGUGACUGACGCUGAGACGCGAAAGCGUGGGGAGCAAACAGG
rnacentral:rRNA from 1 species